rnacentral:rRNA from 1 species
UCAAGCGACUAAGUGUAUGUGGUGGAUGCCUUGGCGAUUACAGGCGAAGAAGGACGUCGCAGCCUGCGAAAAGCCGUGGGGAGCUGGCAAGCGAGCACUGAUCCACGGAUGUCCGAAUGAGGGAACUCACCCGCAAGGGUAUCUUGAAGUGAAUACAUAGCUUCAAGAGGCGAACGCAGCGAACUGAAACAUCUAAGUAGCUGCAGGAAAAGAAAUCAACCGAGAUUCUGAAAGUAGCGGCGAGCGAAAUUGGAAGAGCCUGCAAGUGAUAUUGAAUUCGAUACUGGAACGGUCUGGAAAGUCCGGCUACAGAGGGUGACAGCCCCGUACGGGAAAUUGGGUUCAAGGUACUGAGCUUGCGAGAAGUAGAGCGGGACACGUGAAAUCCUGCUCGAAGAUGGGGGGACCAUCCUCCAAGGCUAAAUACUCGUAAUCGACCGAUAGCGAACCAGUACUGUGAAGGAAAGGCGAAAAGAACCCCGGGAGGGGAGUGAAAUAGAUCCUGAAACCGCAUACAUACAAACAGUAGGAGCCCGCAAGGGUGACUGCGUACCUUUUGCAUAAUGGGUCAGCGACUUACGUUCAAUGGCAAGCUUAACCGAGUAGGGGAGGCGCAGCGAAAGCGAGUCCGAACAGGGCGAUAUGAGUCGUUGGGCGUAGACCCGAAACCAGAUGAUCUAUCCAUGGCCAGGCUGAAGGUGUGGUAACACACACUGGAGGGCCGAACCGACUAGUGUUGCAAAAUUAGCGGAUGAGCUGUGGAUAGGGGUGAAAGGCUAAACAAAUCUGGAGAUAGCUGGUUCUCCCCGAAAACUAUUGAGGUAGUGCCUCGUGUAUGGCUCCAGGGGGUAGAGCACUGUUAUGGCUAGGGGGACAUGGCGUCUUACCAAACCAUGGCAAACUCCGAAUACUUGGAAGUCUGAGCACGGGAGACAGAGCACCGGGUGCUAACGUCCGGACUCAAAAGGGAAACAACCCAGACCGCCGGCUAAGGUCCCUAAUAUUGACUAAGUGGAAAACGAAGUGGGAAGGCUAAGACAGUCAGGAAGUUGGCUUAGAAGCAGCCAUCCUUCAAAGAAAGCGUAAUAGCUCACUGAUCGAGUCUUCCUGCGCGGAAGAUGUAACGGGGCUAAGUCAAUAACCGAAGCCGCGGAUUCGCAGCAAUGCGAGUGGUAGGGGAGCGUUCUGUAAGCCUGCGAAGGCGGAUCUGCGAGGACCGCUGGAGGUAUCAGAAGUGCGAAUGCUGACAUGAGUAACGUUAAAGCGGGUGAAAAGCCCGCUCGCCGCAAGCCCAAGGUUUCCUGCUCUACGUUCAUCGGAGCAGGGUGAGUCGGCCCCUAAGGUCAGGCUGAGAAGCGUAGCUGAUGGGAAGCUGGUUAAUAUUCCAGCACCGAUUUCAAGUGCGAAGGGGGGACGGAGUCCUGAAGGUCAUCCGGGUGUUGGACAUCCCGGUUUACGAGCGUAGGAGGUUGACAGGCAAAUCCGUCAACGAAUCUCCAAGGCGAAGGAUCGAGGUUGAGAGAUCAACUGAAGUGACUGAAUGGGCUUCCAGGAAAAGCCUCUAAGCAUCAGCUUGGAAUUGACCGUACCGCAAACCGACACUGGUGGGCGAGCUGAAUAUGCUCAGGCGCUUGAGAGAACUCAGGAGAAGGAACUCGGCAAAUUGACACCGUAACUUCGGGAUAAGGUGUGCCUUUGUAGUGUGAAGAGAGAAACACUCCGAGCAUGAAGAGGCCUCAGAGAAUCGGUGGCUGCAACUGUUUACUAAAAACACAGCACUCUGCAAAGAUGAAAGUCGACGUAUAGGGUGUGAUGCCUGCCCGGUGCUGGAAGAUUAAUUGAUGGGGUGCAAGCUCCUGAUCGAAGUCCCAGUAAACGGCGGCCGUAACUAUAACGGUCCUAAGGUAGCGAAAUUCCUUGUCGGGU